rnacentral:rRNA from 1 species
UACAGAGGGUGCAAGCGUUAAUCGGAUUUACUGGGCGUAAAGCGCGCGUAGGCGGCUAAUUAAGUCAAAUGUGAAAUCCCCGAGCUUAACUUGGGAAUUGCAUUCGAUACUGGUUAGCUAGAGUGUGGGAGAGGAUGGUAGAAUUCCGAGGUGUAGCGGUGAAAUGCGUAGAGAUCUGGAGGAAUACCGAUGGCGAAGGCAGCCAUCUGGCCUAACACUGACGCUGAGGUGCGAAAGCAUGGGGAGCAACAGG